GCCUGGUUAGCUCAAUCGGUAGAGCGUUUGACUCUUAUUAGAAAAGCAAUCAAAAGGCUGCGGGUUCGAGCCCCGCAUCGGGCU
rnacentral:tRNA from 1 species